UACGUAGGGUCCGAGCGUUGUCCGGAAUUACUGGGCGUAAAGAGCUCGUAGGUGGUUUGUCGCGUUGUUCGUGAAAACUCACAGCUCAACUGUGGGCGUGCGGUUGAUACGGGCAGGCUGGAGUUCGGUAGGGGAGACUGGAAUUCCUGGUGUAGCGGUGAAAUGCGCAGAUAUCAGGAGGAACACCGGUGGCGAAGGCGGGGUCUCUGGGCCG
rnacentral:rRNA from 1 species